rnacentral:rRNA from 1 species
GGCGGCGUGCUUAACACAUGCAAGUCGAACGAAGUGGCGAACGGGUGAGUAACACGUGAGUAACUGCCCUUGACUCUGGGAUAACCUCCGGAAACGGAAGCUAAUACCGGAUAAGGAUGGACUCGCGGCCUAUCAGGUAGUUGGUGAGGUAACGGCUCACCAAGCCUACGACGGGUAGCCGGCCUGAGAGGGGACCGGCCACACUGGGCUGAGACACGGCCCAGACUCCUACGGGAGGCAGCAGUGGGGAAUAUUGCACAAUGGGCGCAAGCCUGAUGCAGCAACGCCGCGUGAGGGAUGACGGCCUUCGGGUUGUAAACCUCUUUUAGUAGGGAAGCGGUACCUGCAGAAAAAGCACCGGCUAACUACGUGCCAGCAGCCGCGGUAAUACGUAGGGUGCGAGCGUUGUCCGGAAUUAUUGGGCGUAAAGAGCUCGUAGGCGGUCUGUCGCGUCUGCUGUGAAAACCCGAGGCUCAACCUCGGGCCUGCAGUGGGUACGGGCAGGCUAGAGUGCGGUAGGGGAGAAUGGAAUUCCUGGUGUAGCGGUGGAAUGCGCAGAUAUC